GACGAACGCUGGCGGCGUGCUUAACACAUGCCAGUCGAACGGAAAGGCCCUGCUUGCAGGGUACUCGAGUGGCGAACGGGUGAGUAACACGUGGGUGAUCUGCCCUGCACUUCGGGAUAAGCCUGGGAAACUGGGUCUAAUACCGGCUAGGAGCCAUUUUUAGUGUGAUGGUUGGAAAGUUUUUUCGGUGUAGGAUGAGCUCGCGGCCUAUCAGCUUGUUGGUGGGGUAAUGGCCUACCAAGGCGGCGACGGGUAGCCGGCCUGAGAGGGUGGACGGCCACAUUGGGACUGAGGUACGGCCCAGACGCCUACGGGAGGAAGCAGUGGGGAAGAUUGCACAAUGGGCGCAAGCCUGAUGCAGCGACGCCGCGUGGGGGAUGACGGCCUUCGGGUUGAAAACUCCUUUCGCUAGGGACGAAGCUUUUUGUGACGGUACCUAGAUAAGAAGCACCGGCUAACUACGUG
rnacentral:rRNA from 1 species